rnacentral:rRNA from 1 species
UGCGUAGGCGGUUUGAUAAGUCAGCGGUGAAAUAUUUCAGCUUAACUGGAAGGGUGCCGUUGAUACUGUCGAGCUUGAAUUUAGUUGCUGUGGGUGGAAUGUGUGGUGUAGCGGUGAAAUGCAUAGAUAUCACACAGAAUAUCGAUUGCGAAGGCAGCUCACAAAGCUAAUAUUGACGCUGAUGCACGAAAGUGUGGGGAUCAAACA